rnacentral:rRNA from 1 species
GACAGAGGGUGCAAACGUUGUUCGGAAUUACUGGGCGUAAAGCGUGUGUAGGCUGCUGCGUAAGUCGGAUGUGAAAGCCCCGGGCUUAACUCGGGAAGUGCAUUCGAUACUGCGUAGCUCGAGUCUCGGAGAGGUUGGUGGAAUUCUCGGUGUAGAGGUGAAAUUCGUAGAUAUCGAGAGGAACACCGGUGGCGAAGGCGGCCAACUGGACGAAGACUGACGCUGAGACACGAAAGCGUGGGGAG